CCUACGGGAGGCAGCAGUAGGGAAUCUUCCACAAUGGGCGAAAGCCUGAUGGAGCAACGCCGCGUGGGUGAAGAAGGUCUUCGGAUCGUAAAACCCUGUUGUUAGAGAAGAAAGUGCGUGAGAGUAACUGUUCACGUUUCGACGGUAUCUAACCAGAAAGCCACGGCUAACUACGUGCCAGCAGCCGCGGUAAUACGUAGGUGGCAAGCGUUAUCCGGAUUGAUUGGGCGUAAAGGGAACGCAGGCGGUCUUUUAAGUCUGAUGUGAAAGCCUUCGGCUUAACCGGAGUAGUGCAUUGGAAAAUGGGAGACUUGAGUGCAGAAGAGGAGAGUGGAACUCCAUGUGUAGCGGUGAAAUGCGUAGAUAUAUGGAAGAACACCAGUGGCGAAAGCGGCUCUCUGGUCUGUAACUGACGCUGAGGUUCGAAAGCGUGGGUAGCAAACAGGAUUAGAUACCCCAGUAGUC
rnacentral:rRNA from 1 species